GAUGAACGCUGGCGGCGUGCCUAAUACAUGCAAGUCGAGCGAACAGACGAGGAGCUUGCUCCUCUGACGUUAGCGGCGGACGGGUGAGUAACACGUGGAUAACCUACCUAUAAGACUGGGAUAACUUCGGGAAACCGGAGCUAAUACCGGAUAAUAUAUUGAACCGCAUGGUUCAAUAGUGAAAGACGGUUUUGCUGUCACUUAUAGAUGGAUCCACGCUGCAUUAGCUAGUUGGUAAGGUAACGGCUUACCAAGGCAACGAUGCGUAGCCGACCUGAGAGGGUGAUCGGCCACACUGGAACUGAGACACGGUCCAGACUCCUACGGGAGGCAGCAGUAGGGAAUCUUCCGCAAUGGGCGAAAGCCUGACGGAGCAACGCCGCGUGAGUGAUGAAGGUCUUCGGAUCGUAAAACUCUGUUAUUAGGGAAGAACAUAUGUGUAAGUAACUGUGCACGUCUUGACGGUACCUAAUCAGAAAGCCACGGCUAACUACGUG
rnacentral:rRNA from 1 species